rnacentral:rRNA from 1 species
GAUGAACGCUGGCGGCGUGCUUAACACAUGCAAGUCGAACGAAGCACUUUAUUUGAUUUCCUUCGGGACUGAUUAUUUUGUGACUGAGUGGCGGACGGGUGAGUAACGCGUGGGUAACCUGCCUUGUACAGGGGGAUAACAGUUGGAAACGGCUGCUAAUACCGCAUAAGCGCACGGCAUCGCAUGAUGCAGUGUGAAAAACUCCGGUGGUAUAAGAUGGACCCGCGUUGGAUUAGCUAGUUGGUGGGGUAACGGCCCACCAAGGCGACGAUCCAUAGCCGACCUGAGAGGGUGACCGGCCACAUUGGGACUGAGACACGGCCCAAACUCCUACGGGAGGCAGCAGUGGGGAAUAUUGCACAAUGGGCGAAAGCCUGAUGCAGCGACGCCGCGUGAGCGAAGAAGUAUUUCGGUAUGUAAAGCUCUAUCAGCAGGGAAGAUAAUGACGGUACCUGACUAAGAAGCAC